AAGAAGUAAAGUGCUCUAUUGGAGAAUUUUCGGCGGCGGCAUUCAAUAGCAUCGUAAGCUUCAAGUCCAGGUAUUAAAUAUUAGUCAGAUAAUGGGAUAGUUCAUUACGAUACAUUUUAUAGGUAAAAUAUACUGCAAAUAUUUUUGGCAAAGAGGAAGAAUAAUAAUUAUUAGCUUUAAAGGAUAAAUAUGAGGUAGGGAAUGUGGGAAAGCAUGAUUUUGUGUACUUUCAGUGGAAUUGAAUUUUUCUAAGAGCUACAGUGUUGGAGUUUUAAUAUUAAGUAUAUGAGCUACAAACUCAAUCAUGGCAUAAUUAUUGGAUAAUGAUAUUAAAUGUGAAAUAGCAUGAGAAAUUAUUAUCUUGGAGUUACUGGUUCAUAUGUGAGGUUAUCGUUAGGCAAUCUUUUUUUUUCACGAUUGAAGCUGCCGCAUUAGAUGUUAAUCAGGUGCAGAUUUCUAUUUAUUGGAUUGAGAGUUGACUUUGAUUUUGACUCGUCUUAAGACUUUGGAAAUUAUUCAUCUAAAUUGAUUAGGAUGUGUUAUUUAAUAUUUUGAAUAGAAUGAGGCCAUUGGAGAUUAUUUGGUUGGUGUUCUAGAUGUUGCAAGGUUGCAGAACUUCCUAUUAUCGAGGUGAGUAGUUUGUAUAGAUGAUGGCAUGAGAGUUUGAAACCCUAGUUUAUCACAUCGUGAAGCUAUGUUAGGGUGUGACUCACACCCCAUGGAAGGUGCGGGGUUGUAAAUAUUGGUGAUUGUGACUUGGUCAAUCCCGAGAGCUGAAUAAUUAUUGGCGUCUGAUACGCACAUUGUGUUGUUGAUAAUUGAGCUUAAUGCCAUGGUUGAGGCCUUGUGUCGAUCUGUAGUACCCGUCUAGGGUGAAUAUCUGUGUGAUAACAUGAU
rnacentral:lncRNA from 1 species